CGUCUCGCAUUCCAAGCAGUAGGUGAUCUGUUGUGUUGACGCUUUUCUGCUACUUUGCUUGGACAAUUAAGUUUCCUCCCGUUGCAAGCCAAUCCUCAGCUCCGCUUUCCCCACACCAAAAAGCAAAAGCUAAAAGCGAAGAGCAAAGAUUCACACAUAUGUAGCUAGAUAGAAUUAGGUGAAUGAGAAUGCUGAGUUUGAUGAGCAAAGGCAAAUGGUUUUAACAAAUGAAAACAAAAGCAUGGACGAAAUAUCAGUUGUUCUAAGAAGGUUCGGGGACGAACAGAGCACAUUGCUGGACCAGUUUGAGAGGCUUUCCUUCGAGGUUCAGCUGAACCAAGCCAUAUUGAGUCGGAGCCUAUCCGAGCCAAGCGUUGCUAAAAGGUCGCAGUACUGCUCACAGUUUCAAGCUCCGCCGCCAGCGGUGAAGCCAAAGGGGCGGAAAGGGCGACGCGGGUCUGGAUUCAACAGGGUCCUGAAGAAGUUGCUGAAACCAAUCCUUGGUAGGAAAGGAAAUGCCGGGAAGAAGCCUGUGGCUGACCCCCAAAAUCCCAUGUCUUGGAAAGCUUUCAGCAGAUCUCUACGGCUCUGAUUAAUUUUUUCAAAAAAAAAAUGCUUGUUUAUUCAAUUUUGCCAUCCGUGUUAUAGCUAUUUCUCUCUCUCUAUAAAAAUGCUAAUCAUUCGGUUUUCUUAUUCAUUGCAAAAAUCAUAUGUAAUAGUUCUCAAAGAAAUCAAAUAUGAUAAAGGAAUUUUUACUGAUAUUUUGCUGUCAGAACCUGGGGCUCCACUUAAGUUGACGCUCCAUUUAGAAUAAAUAAUUGAACUGCUCAAUUAAACUUUCUUUCCUAAUAAAAACGAGAUUAAUUAUAUGUGAAACUUCAUGCUCUACACUAGAACUGAAGUUACCAUUGUGAUUUUUCAAUGCUAAUCGAAAAUAUAUAUUAAAAAAUUUAUUUAAGUUUUUAAGCUAUUUGAUUUUAGCAUGAGUGUUCUCAUUUUUAACUUUUUUGGAAAAUUUUGAAGUUUGAUAUAUUAUUUGAGGUUCGAAACUCACAGAAAAUCCUCGUAAGGCCGAGGCUAUCUACUUUAUCUUGGACUCCCCUUUGCCGGUUGAGUUCUCUCCCAACAUGCAAGCUGAACCAAAUAAUCAUAACAUUAGGGUGAAUUAUGAAAGCUAUCACAAACACACAAUCAAAAUUCCAGCAGCAAAAGAAUUUAGCUAACAAGAAAAAGGACUUCCCUCCCACAACUCACGGCUAUGCAUCACCGUUAGUCCAUUCUUUCUCUUUUCAACCCAUAUGAAGAUAGUGGGGGGGGGGGGGGUUGAGAGGUUACCAAUUUUGAGAAAAAAAAAUUUCCUUAAACAAGCAAAUUCUCCCACAUUCAUCAACAUGCAGCUGUGCCUUCUCCCUCCUUUCAUUUGAAUCUUGGCCAAAGAAGAAAAAUGGGAUGGAAGAAGAAAUAAAUUCAUUUAUUUCCUUGUUAUUACCGUCCAACGACCCUUCCACUGUCC
rnacentral:lncRNA from 1 species